CGACAAAUGGCCGCGGCGGCCUCAGGUCCGGCGUCACUCAGACAAGGGGGCGGGUGGAGGAGGAAGCGGCCAAGUCCACAGUCCUGCUCCCGUGCCGCCGAGCACCGCCCACCUCAGCUGACCAGCCCUGUCCGCUACUAGGCCUCGCCUAGAGGAGGGAAAGGCCGUGGCGUCCGCUCCCUCCGCGGCUCAUGGCGACGACGCUUGGCACAUCCGGGACCCUCAGGCCGCUGCAGUCGCGUCGCCGGCUGCUCGGGCCCCAGCCCCGGCCGCUGUGGUGACUCCGCCGCGCCUCGCCGUCGCCCCCGUCCCGCCCGCCGCCCCAGCCGCCAGGGACAUGUCUAACCUCGGAGGCCGUAGGAACGGGCCUGUCGAAGUGCGCCUGACAGGGACAUGCCACCCCCGUUUUAGGAGAACUUGUAUUUGGUUUGAGAAGGAAUUGGAAUCACGGCGUUAUCCUACCUUCACCAUUUACCCCUGAUAAAUUGUCCACGUUUAUAUUUGGAGUCUCAUUCUAUUGCCCAUGCUGGAGUGCAGUGGCAACAGCGUGCAGUGAGUGAUCCCGGCUCUCUGCAGCUUUGA
rnacentral:lncRNA from 10 species